CAACGUGUACGGGCGGACCACUGGAGGGAUGCCUGUGCCGGGCUAGAUCUUCAGGAUACCUCCAAAGCCUGGCGUCUUCUUUGCAAUCUUGAGGCCAAAGAUUCGGCGCGUACAGCCACCCCAUUAUUGUCACCCAGUAGGGAUCGAGUGGCAAAAGAUCAAAAAAUGGCCGACUUGCUUAACAACUAUUUCGCUUCGAUAAGCAAGUCCGAAAAGAAGACAGCCACGUCUAUAGCCCUCAACAAGGAGCGUAAAAGACUCGAGAGGGAGCCGGAUGGAUCGGAAGAGGACAGAUGAAAUGCAAAUGCUAAAUGCAAAAACAGAAAA